UGAGAAUGAGCAAAACUCUUUAUUGAUGCUGAUCGGCCCCUGCUUCCAUUGAGCUCAAGGAGGAAAAACUUCUAAGUCCAAAGUAUCAAAGAAAAGAAAAAACCCAAACAGCGUGUCCCCGUGCCACCCAAAAAGUUCCCCCCCUUUCAGAAAAUCCCUUCUAUAUACCAUGGCACUCUUAGGUGCCAUCAUACCUUCGUGCGUCAUUAUCCACCUGACCUGUCUGGCUCUUCUCCUGACACUACAGAAUUGCAGAAUCGCCCGUGGCCCCCCUGCUUCAUUUCCCCGAAAAACAAGUCUGCCCUUUCACCGUAAAUUAAGUUUGGCCUGUUUUUGCUCCCGCCGAACUUCUGCAUUAUUAUUAAAAAUAUGCUGCGUUGACAAAACUAUUGUCAAGGCUGUGCCCCCAAGAACAUCUUGUCCUGCUCCCUGUCACGUAUCACCCGUAUCACCCAGACGAAACGCACGUCUUGAGGACCAAUCUCACCAAUCUCCCAAUCAAUCACCAAUUCUCCAGCUGCAAUGGAUGCUCAGAGUCAGCAAGAUCGUCCAGAUGGCCGACCUAUGAGGCCUUCUCGCCGUUAUAUGAGAUCUUAUAUGAUGCCUUAUGCGAGACCUGUGCCCACCGAACUUCUGUGUCCUGUGCCCAUCCUACAUUGUGAAAAGGCCUCAGGCCCGCACUUCCUCUACCCAGACCGAUGGCUGUCCUCAUGCUCUUCCUGAGCGUUGCUGCUCUGCACUGGAACCCCCUGCCUCUCCUUCUUCUCCUUCAACCUCCUCCUCCCCACCUCCUGGAUCUCCCGACUACUCUCCUACGUCUCCUGUGCCUGGGCCUAGCUCUGCCUAUUGAGUUCUAUGACUUCAAUAAACCAACUACACCCCUUA